GACGAACGCUGGCGGCGUGCUUAACACAUGCAAGUCGAGCGGUAAGGCCUUUCGGGGUACACGAGCGGCGAACGGGUGAGUAACACGUGGGUGACCUGCCCCCUACUCUGGGAUAAGCCUGGGAGACUGGGGCUAAUACCGGAUAUGACUCAUGAUCGCACGGUUGUGGGUGGUAAGUAUUUUCGGUGGGGGAUGGGCCCGCGGCCUAUCAGCUCGUUGGUGGGGUGAUGGCCUACCAAGGCGACGACGGGUAGCCGGCCUGAGAGGGCGACCGGCCACACUGGGACUGAGGCACGGCCCAGACUCCUACGGGAGGCAGCAGUGGGGAAUAUUGCGCAAUGGGCGGAAGCCUGACGCAGCGACGCCGCGUGGGGGAUGACGGCCUUCGGGUUGUAAACCUCUUUCGGCCCCGACGUAGCGUGAGUGACGGUAGGGGUAGAAGAAGCACCGGCCAACUACGUGCCAGCCGCCGCUGUAA
rnacentral:rRNA from 1 species